CUUUUCCCCGGCCGCGCCCGCGCUCCUGGACGCGCAGUUCUCCGAGCUCUGGUCCUGAGCCGCUGUUUCCCAGAAGAAGGCCUACGUGAGCUCUUGGAGCAGACGAGGGAAAGGGAGGAAGGCUCUACCCUUAAAAUCCUCUCGAAGGUCAAGUUUGAGGCUUGCCGAAAGGAGGAGAAAAGUGUCGAAAAAUGCCGCUACAGGGUUUGCGGGAAGGUUCUGCACGGAGACUGGUUGGAAAUGCCUUUCUCCCCCUAAAUACCAGAUUAAUUUCUCUGAAACACACAAUGUAUUUGUCAUGCCCAAAGGAUGAUGAUAGAUGGUUUUUUAAGCCCAGAGUAAAGUGUGCAUUUGUCUUGUAUAUCAAGGCUACAAUGAAACCACGAAGAACUGGAGAGGAGAUCACCCAGCGUUGGCUGCUUAAUAGGAGCGGGGAGAGCGAGUGAGGAGUAGAGACGGGGGGCGGGGCGAGUGGUGGCCCAAGACCUGCUCCAGGUGGGCUGUUCCCUGUCGGCUCCUGGAACAGGACGGGUAAGCCGACUAAGAGCGCAAACGGGGACCCAUGAAAAGAAAAGAAAAAACAAGAUCCGGGAAUAGUUUGUUACUGUUAUUUACAUCCAGACUCUGGUUUUCCGGCCCUUUACAGCUGCUGGUGAAGAGUAUUCAAGCUUUGAAUACUGCUCUGAACUGACCUUGAGGCACAUUGAGAGGAAAAAUCACUGGAGAAAAUCGCGGUUUGUGUAGUGCUUUGAGAUCCUCUAACGCGAAAGCAAGAGAAUUGUGAAGUGACCUUGUUUCAUAGAUCUCUCUACGUCCACAUUGGAAUACUAAGGGACUUUUUAGUGAGAAUUGAGUCAGUUCCCCCUUAAAUCUUACACCGCAGAGAAGUGAGUAGAGACCGCAAGAUUUAAAAUAACAUU
rnacentral:lncRNA from 1 species